CCGCGCGCUCCCGUAGCUCGGCCGGUCGCCACUGGGGCGGCCGCGGCCCGCGUCAGGAUGCGCAUCCGGGACCCCGCGGGGGAGCGCGCGCCCACGGCCCGGCUGGUCGCUCCAGUGAGACAGCCGUCGCGUCAGGCUGCCAGACUUGGACCCCUCGGGGAGCGCGCGCGGGCCACCGAGAGCUCCACUGCUGAAGUCGGAACCCCUACCCCCCGGACUGCCACAGAGCGGCGAGCUCUUUGGCAGAUGGGAGGGACUGAUCACAGUCCUGAGACGCCCCGAAGCACAGUCCCCUUUGAGGAAGCAAAUAUUUGCCAUUUUGGCCUGUUCUGGACACCCUCAAGGAAUGUGUGUCACAUGCAGGACUCAUAAUGUUACAUAUGUAUGUAUUUGUUGGGAUGAGAUCAGCUAUAAAUAGCCACAUACAGAAAUAUAUUACAAGAUGGAUUGCUGCAAAAGACAGAUUGCAAUGAGAGUCAGAAACUGUUAUAUGAAGUAACUCUCAGUGGUAGAGCACUUGCCAGGACUGGAGAGGUGGGUCAGUGCUUAAGAGCACUGGCUGCUCUUCCAGAAGACCUGGGUUCGAUUUCCAGCAGUUUUUAAGACCAGCAGAAAACAAACACCAAAACCUGAUUAAUAUUGUGCAAAAAAGUCUGCCUCUGAGGGCACAGGGCAAGCAGAAAAUUAUGAGAAGGGCAUGCCACAUUAAGCUCAGCACAGAGAGCAAACAAACUGAGGAUGUCAAAGGCUCUUUAGAGGAAAUAGUGCCUUAGACACAGAAGGUAACUAGGAAGUUAACAAGUAAAGAAGUAAUGACAUUCCAGGCAAAGAGAUAGCAUAUGCAGAAGCCCACAGAAAUAAGAACAUGUAUCGUCUGUUUACACAAGCAAUAUGUAGUGCUUUGGAUGGGAACUGCUCCCCAUGGGCUCAGUUAUCUGAACACUUACUUGCCAGUGGUGGUGCUGACUGGAGGCUGUGGAACCUGUGAAACAGAAAAGUAACUAACACACAAUUGGGAGAAGCACAUGCUACUUGAAGAAAUGAUCUUGAAGCGUAGUUAAAUUGAAAAAGAUGACCCAGAUGGUCAGCAAAAACUGAAACGAAUGCUUUAGUUGUUUGCCUAUGACACAACUGGGUGAAAAGCAGAAGUACACAGAAGUUUCAUAAUGAAACUUUAAACCACAUCAGACUUGUCUACUGUCAGGCUUUGUUACAUUCCCUCUAACUCAACCCAGACUCCCUGAGGUUGGCCAAUAAGGCAAAGUUUGAGUCAAAACCACACCCUUCCUUUGAGCUUUAAGGAUGCACUUAGAAUUCUAGAGAAAUGCAAAGCGCUGGAAGAAGCUGAGAAGGAGGAGGGUAACUUUAUAAGAAGACCAGCAGUCUCAACUAACCUGGACCCCCAGAUUGCUUGGACACUGAGCCACCAACCAGCCAGAAUGCACCAGCUGAUAUGAGGCCCCAACACAUAUACAGCAGGCCUCCAAAACAUGUGUCCUGCCUGGGCUUCUCUCAGCAAGACCAAGAGCAAAGUGACAAAGGCUAUGCCCAGCAUGGCUAGGCAAAGAUAAGUCAAAUCCAGGGUAGGAUAUGGAUCUACAAGCAAACUGUAGGAAGUCAAACAAAAGUGGAGAAAAAUACCUAGAUGAGGAGAGUACACCUCUGGCUAUGUCCUUGAGUGUUUCUGGAUAGGACGAACUAAGGGAAUACUGAAUAUGAAUGGCAGCAUUCUUUCCCUCGGACCCACAACCAAUGGAAGAGGAACAAGGAAGAAGUUUGCUAUUAUAGUCAUAUAAUCUGUGCUUCCUGGUCACCAUGAUGUGCACUUUCUAAUCUGACUCAGCCUACCAUGUCAGAAUGAGACUCCAAAACUGCCACAAUAAAUCAUUUUUCCUUUAAGUUGUUUUGGGAUUAAAACCAGGACAAGUAUAAACCAUGGCAGGAAGCAUCUGUCUGGCACCACAGUUGCUUCUCGCUACAGCAAUGUCUACAGUCAACUCUCAGGCUGAUAUUCAAAGCUGACUUCUCACCCCGUCGUAUUUCUAUAGACACUCCUAUUUCGAAGGGUCUGGGCUCUGUUGGCCUUCAGUUGGUCAUUUGUAUUUCCUCCUGAAGAAGAGUAAGUCAGAUAAGCCAGUCCUCUUUGGGGGUUAUUUUACCUUUCUGAGUGGAACUCUAGAGUGAAACGUGAUAUGACUACAGAGUGUGGUAAAGAAACAGAUUUUAGUCACCAAGGAUGUUAUGAAGAAUGUGCUAAUGGAGCCAGGCACUAAGACUGCUCUAUUAAAAUCAUCUAGCAUAUUGUAUCCACUUGUCUUCUAUGGAUGUACAAUUCAAGAAGAUCAAAGGUCCUUGCCGUUAUAAUUUAAGGAUCUGAGAUGAGCUCGUCCAGGUGGUCCUUAAAGCCAAGGGCAAGCAUCUUUAUGACAGAGAUGGAGACAAGGAUGAAGGAAAAGGACGUGUGCAGAUGGAAACCAAGACUGUAGUUAUGUUACCACAAAGCAGAGAACACUUGGAGUUACCAGAAGCUGGCCCAGUCUCAACAUGAUUUUGUAAGUGUCAUAUUUAAACCAUAACAGAGAAAGCAAUGUGAUCAUGGAAAUGGAAAAGGUGGAGACUGGAAUGACUCCAUAUCAGGACUCAACCUGUCACUACUGACUUUGAAGAUGGAAGGGACCUAAAAGACAGAAGCAGUAGGUGGCCUCUAGAGGACAGAAAAAGUAAGGAAGAGUUUGUUUUCUCCAGAGCCUCUAGGAAGGAGUUGGGCCCUGUGGACAACCAACUGGAUGUUAACCUGUGUAACAGCUCUGAUCUGCCAGCCUAUAGAAGAGUAAAAUGAUGGUCUCAUUUGCUGUGAUAGGGGAUAUAGUGUGACAUAAAAUGGGGAGAAGGAUACAGUUUGGGAAGAGGAACUGAACUAGCCUGGAUGCAUCAGGAUGAUGGAGAAAGAAGAUGGAGCCUGAAUGCAUCAGGAAAACGGAGAAGGGGGUGGAGUCUAGAUGAUCAGGAAGAUGGAGAAGGGGGAUGGAUAAAACACAUAGUGCCAUA
rnacentral:lncRNA from 1 species